rnacentral:tRNA from 1 species
GGAAUAUAGCUCAGUUGGUAGAGUGCUUGCCUUGUAUGCACAAGGUCCUGGGUUCAAUUCCCAGUACCA